rnacentral:siRNA from 1 species
UCCUCAUUCUCCUACAUGUGAUG